rnacentral:rRNA from 1 species
GGCGAACGGGUGAGUAAUACGUGAGUGACCUUCCCUUGACUCUGGGAUAAGCCCGGGAAACUGGGUCUAAUACCGGAUAUUCACUUCCUCCUGCCUGGGGGGUGGUGGAAAGGGUUUUUGUACUGGUCUUGGAUGGGCUCACGGCCUAUCAGCUUGUUGGUGAGGUAAUGGCUUACCAAGGCGACGACGGGUAGCCGGCCUGAGAGGGUGACCGGCCACACUGGGACUGAGACACGGCCCAG